rnacentral:rRNA from 1 species
AGAUUGAACGCUGGCGGCAUGCCUUACACAUGCAAGUCGAACGGCAGCACGGGAGCAAUCCUGGUGGCGAGUGGCGAACGGGUGAGUAAUAUAUCGGAACGUGCCCAGUCGUGGGGGAUAACGUAGCGAAAGCUACGCUAAUACCGCAUACGAUCCAUGGAUGAAAGCGGGGGAUCGCAAGACCUCGCGCGAUUGGAGCGGCCGAUAUCAGAUUAGGUUGUUGGUGGGUAAAAGCUUACCAAGCCUGCGAUCUGUAGCUGGUCUGAGAGGACGACCAGCCACACUGGAACUGAGACACGGUCCAGACUCCUACGGGAGGCAGCAGUGGGGAAUUUUGGACAAUGGGCGCAAGCCUGAUCCAGCAAUGCCGCGUGCAGGAUGAAGGUCCGUUCGGUUGUAAACGUGUCUUUUGUACGGAACGAACGGCUACCUUCUAAGUACGGGCUAAGUAGACGGUACGUAAGAAGUAAGACGACCGUCUAACUACGU